AAAGGGUUUCGACUCCAACCCACUGUGAACAUACCCUACGUUGCUUCGGCGGGCCCCCGCGCCCGCCGAGGGACACGCAAACUCUUUUUUGAACCUGGAACUCUGAUUAUACAUUAAAAAAAAAUGAAUCAAAACUUUCAACAACGGAUCUCUUGGUUCUGGCAUCGAUGAAGAACGCAGCGAAAUGCGAUACGUAAUGUGAAUUGCAGAAUUCAGUGAAUCAUCGAAUCUUUGAACGCACAUUGCGCCCGCCAGCAUUCUGGCGGGCAUGCCUGUUCGAGCGUCAUUACAACCCUCGAGCCCCCCCCCUUCCGGGGGGAGGGGCCCGGUGUUGGGGGACGGCCCGCCCUCGCGGCAGGCCGCCCCCGAAAUGGAUCGGCGGCAACGGCGUCCGCCUCCCCUGCGUAGUAGCACAGCAUCUCGCAACGGGAGCGCGCCGCGCGCCAUUGCCGUAAAACGCACAACCCUUCAAGAGUUGACCUCGGAUCAGGGAGGAAUACCCGCUGAACUUAAGCAUAUCACUAAGCGGAGGAAGAUCGGCGGCAACGGCGUCCGCCUCCCCUGCGUAGUAGCACAGCAUCUCGCAACGGGAGCGCGCCGCGGCCACUGCCGUAAAACGCACAACCCUUCAAGAG
rnacentral:sRNA from 1 species